AUUUGUAAUAAAAAUUUUAUUUUCUUUAUUCUAUCUUGUAAUUUUGUGUGAGUUUCUCAUUAAAGGAGAGAUUUAUAAUUAAGAUAGUUUGAUUUUUUUUUUUUUUUAAAUAAAAUUGAUUUUUAAAGCCGCUUGUAAAAUUGAAAAUUCAAAUAAAGCGUUGUCGGCUGUGAUGAAACUCACUAAAAUAGGUGUAUUUAAUAUCAAUAUUUGAUUAAGUGCCUAAGUUAUGUAUCAUCCAUCACUGCGCAUGAGCAUUUUAAGGUUUUCAGGUUGUGUUGGUGGUUUUGGUCAUUUGAUGAAUGUGUGUGGACGUAAUACAUUGAAUUUGGCAAUUCGACUGUUUGGUUGUGGUACUUGGUAUAGCAAAGUCCCACUUAAAAAAAUAAAACUGACUCUGGAGAACGCAUCAUCAUAUAGCUUACGACGAUGAGAAAUCGACAAGUUGAAUUGGGACCCACCACCUUAGAAAACGUCGGUCCCUAAUCCCCCCUCACACCUGUAUCCCUACGAAGCACACGCAAGCGCGGCACGCACAAACUGUGAAGAGAGAUGACGAGGGGAAAGCAGAAGAUCGAAGCGCAGAGACGAAAUGCGGAGAAAAAUCAGAAACAAAAAGGGUCUCAGUUCGAGGCUCGAGCCGUUGCACUCAAAGUCAUCUGCCCCAUCUGCAAGGUGCAGCUAGCAAAUCAGAAUCAACUUGGUGAUCACUAUGCCUCCAAACAUCCAAAAGAAAAGCCUCCUAGCAACUCAGAAUAGUCUUUAUUUCACAUGUUUCUAUAAUGUAUUUCAGCUGUUGAUUAUCUGAACCAAAGUCACUUUGACUUCCUUUAUUUUUCCUUGUUUUUAGGUUUUCCUCUAUUUUGUGUUAUAUAAGAGUGGACUUUCUGUUUGAUCAUCGACUAAUGUGAUAACAAGUCAUUUUCUGGAA